rnacentral:rRNA from 1 species
GACGAACGCUGGCGGCGUGCUUAACACAUGCAAGUCGAACGGAAAGGCCCUGCUUUUGUGGGGUGCUCGAGUGGCGAACGGGUGAGUAACACGUGAGUAACCUGCCCUUGACUUUGGGAUAACUUCAGGAAACUGGGGCUAAUACCGGAUAGGAGCUCCUGCUGCAUGGUGGGGGUUGGAAAGUUUCGGCGGUUGGGGUUGGACUCGCGGCUUAUCAGCUUGUUGGUGGGGUAGUGGCUUACCAAGGCUUUGACGGGUAGCCGGCCUGAGAGGGUGACCGGCCACAUUGGGACUGAGAUACGGCCCAGACUCCUACGGGAGGCAGAAGUGGGGAAUAUUGCACAAUGGGCGGAAGCCUGAUGCAGCAACGCCGCGUGCGGGAUGACGGCCUUCGGGUUGUAAACCGCUUUCGCCUGUGACGAAGCGUGAGUGACGGUAAUGGGUAAAGAAGCACCGGCUAACUACGUG